GGGGCGGAAAGCCAGGGAGGAUGCUGUUCUGAAGCCCGGGAAGGCCAGUCUGGACUGCAACGGGCAUUACCGUACUCUCGCGAGAGCUGGAGCCAACCGAGGGCUGGCCCCUCAUGAAGACCGCGGAAUUGUGGGAAAGAUUGGCCAUCGAGACCACUGUUGACCACACUCUGAACGUAGUGCACGGCCGGGUUUUGGGAACCAUGGGCACUUCUUGCAGGAGAUAGGAGCCUAAUGGGAAAUUUGAUGCGCUGCCCCAAAUGGGUUACGGCCCACAGGUUGAGAACUGCUACUCUUUCAUCUGCCUCCAUAUUUUCAGUGGCUUGAAGUGAGCACUUACACAGAGACCGAAAUCUGUGCUGAAUGAGACUGUAAAUGGCUGAACAAAUCCAUGAGGCAAGAUUGGAAGUGAGAGCCCAGCUCCUGGAAGGCAAAAGCAUAGCAUCGUCUGUUAGAGGCCAGGGCGCCACAGAGUAAGU
rnacentral:lncRNA from 1 species